GCCUGGGUGGCUCAGUCAGUUAAGCGUCUGACUUCGGCUCAGGUCAUGAUCUCACGGUUUGUGGGUUCGAGCCCCGCGUUGGGCU
rnacentral:tRNA from 1 species